GUGAUACGCUGCGAUAAGCUACGGGGAGGUGCGAAUACCCUUUGAUCCGUAGAUUUCCGAAUGGGGAAACCCACCUAAGGUACUUGGAAAAUCAGAGCAGCAGGGCAACUUGCUGCUGUGGUUUCCAAGUAUCGAUAAUAGGUAACUUACCCUGAAUAAAAUAGGGGUAAAGUGGCGAACGCGGGGAACUGAAACAUCUAAGUACCCGUAGGAAAGGACAUCAACCGAGACUCCGGAAGUAGUGGCGAGCGAACCCGGACCAGGCCAGUGGCGAUGAUGAGACAAGCGGAACCUUCUGGAAAGUAGGGCCAUAGUGGGUGACAGCCCCGUAC
rnacentral:rRNA from 1 species